UAACAGCUUCAUAUUCCACAAAGAUCACAAGUUGUGUGUGUGUGUUUGUGGGGGGGGGGGGGUGGGGGGGGGGAAUGAAUACAGAUAGAAAAAACUAAAACAUGUGUAUUUGCUGGAGGAAGCACCUGCCUCCGUUCGGAGAAGAAGAAAAUUGGUGCUCCUUUUGUGGUUGGAGUUAUUUAUAUUUAUCUGGUUGUUAAAGAAAAAUGAAGAAGCACAGCAGAUCGUUACCUUGGACACACUGACUGAAAAGAAUUCAGGAAUAACGUUCACACAUCGAGAGAAGCAGCAUUAGCUGACGCACCUGCCGGCGCCUCCGACAGACAUUUAGUCCAAAUCCCUGUCGGGAAGUGCAAUUCCUGCACAGUCAACGGAAGGUCAUAUUUGAUAACUUGGUCUCGGCCAGUUAAUGUCAAACAAAGGCCCGGACAGGUGUUUCACUUAAUCUGAGCCAGAAAGAGCAACGAUGUGUCUCCGACUCUGGCGGCUGCCUGUGAGACGGCUUAAUUGAACACAAGCGCACAAUAGCAGCACAGAGAAGUGGGGUGAAAACGCUGGAAAUGCCAGGUCGUCUAUUGUGUCCUUUCAGAAUUUCCUCUCCACUGACCCGCCAAGGUAAGACUUCCUCAAGGAAGUACAUGUGACACGUGUUCAGACGGCGAUUCUUUCCCUCUAUCCUACAAGUCUCUCAGCAACCGUGACGAAGUGGAAACAAGGCCGAAACCCGAAGCCGCAGCAAUUUAGAAGGUAAGUUCUCACGGGCGCUUCCUCCUUCCACCUCGGGAGUCAUCAGGAUACAACUCAAGCUUUCAAACUAGUCAAUGGGAUUCAAUUUAGAAUCAGUGUCUUAAUAAGAGUAAAUCCAAUAACGAAUAAGAUUAUAAAAUCCCAAUGAUGUGGGGGUGCUGCUGGAUGGUGGCAUCAGGCAACGCAUCCCGCUGUUACGCCUCAUAUAGCUUUUUCAGCUCUGAUAUUCAAUAACACAACCGGCGAUCAAUUGUGAUGAGGGUCGCGGCCUUGGGCUCGCCCAUUGUGCUCGUCUCAUUAGCUUACAUUCAUGUAAUGUAUUGACCGUUUGCCGCUCACUGAUUGGGGGCCACGGUCUGAGCUUGAACUCUUGUUAUAUCAUGAGCGCUCCGAGUCUCCUCGGGGCUGAAAGCGGAUCACCGGGGGCCCCGAUAUCACAGGUUGCGCUCCGGGGACCUGAUUUGCAGUGACGGACGGGCCGAUGCCUGGAAGUGCAGAGCGUCACAAACACCUCGUCACUACUCUCCGUGAGCUCCUGGAUGUGACAGCCAAAGCCAAACAUUGGACAUCCGUGUCGAGUUCUGUGAGAUUCAGAUUUAUGAAUAAUCCAACAUCUUUCUAUGCAACGGCAUAAAUAUAUCUCCCCCACUUCAAACGGACCACUUCCACCGAGACUGCAUCUUCAUCGUACAUAAAAAGCACAGCAGGUCCUGUUACUACACGUGAUAUUUCAGGAUAAAUUACUAAAAGGGCUCAAGCCAGGCGGAGAAUGGCAGGCAACAUUUUUCAAAUUCUGGACUGGUGGAAAAUUAAAGUCUGGCACCCAGCAAACAUACCGCAGGAAAUGAGUGGCAGGUGGAAGUGGAUACUUGACACGCAUUUGUGACCGAGGUUUCCAUCAUCUCAAUUUCCUUGAUGUAUCACUUCUGCUCACAGAGCUCUGUUGACAAUAACAGCCAUCGAGGCCUAAUAACUAGUGCGGGAUCGCUCUCGUGGCCUUGUGUGUUGACACGGAAGAGACGAGGUAAUAGCUCAUCACUUCUCAGGCUGGUAAAACGUGAGCGGAGGGGACAAGAGGAGCGAGGGAAGGUAGGGAGCGCUGCCGAAAGAGAAACAUACUACAUCACACGUCUUGACUUCUGCACUACGGGACCCACCGCGCUCAUGGGCGGGUACUGACAUGACGGGUCUUUGAUUGGAUCAGGGGCCAACAGACAACCACAGUGUUGAAUUAUUUUUGGUUCAGAUGACAUAACAUAGCUGCGCUUCGCAGAAAAUAUGACUUCUUUUCUUUAACUAUACGUGGCAGGAAGGUGUUUUAAGAGGAAACUAAAACACGGAUGACCAAGGAGCACGCCGAGACUUUUAACAGGUACUUAGUCCCUUUGGAUGUUCAGUUGACGAUGGACGCUUCAAGGUGCAAUAAAAAUAUCCAAUAAAGUUCCAGUUUCAGUUCGAAACAAAUUCAAUUGCCUCUGUAAAAUGAGCCCUUCCCGGUUCAUGGACUCUGUCCUCGAACAAAUGCUUUUUUUUGUUCACAGACAGAAACUUGUCUCUUGGUG
ensembl:lncRNA